rnacentral:rRNA from 2 species
GCGUAUCUUGAAUGUCAAAACGACUCUCGGCAACGGAUAUCUCGGCUCUCGCAUCGAUGAAGAACGUAGCGAAAUGCGAUACUUGGUGUGAAUUGCAGAAUCCCGUGAACCAUCGAGUCUUUGAACGCAAGUUGCGCCCGAAGCCUUCGGGCCGAGGGCACGCCUGCCUGGGCGUCACG